CAGCUUUCUUCACAGACCCUUCAAUGAUGUGACUCCAAGCACCUGUGGAGAGGUUUAUUAACGCGUUAUAGCUGCUGUAUGUACAGGCUGUGUGGAUCAGCCUUAUCAGUGAUAAAACUAAGUCAGAGACACAUGAAUCUUGGUCAACUGGAGCACCAUCUCCUGCUGGCAGAAAUCUGUGCCACUGCAUCUCCAGAGAAGAAAGAAAACAGAAAUGCAGUAAUUGUAAGCACACUGGCAAGCCUUCAGGGGCUGAGACAUGUCCCCGCAGUGGCCUAUAAAAGAAUGUGAAGUGUGGCCUUUGUGGAAAAACGGCGAGGGAAAGCACCUGCGGUUCGACAUUAAAGCAGCCGUUGUAUUUCUAGGUGAGUAAAAUGCUCUGUCCUUUGGAGGUGCAUGCAGAUAAUCAAAUUUGACAUACUGUAUAACGUGUUCUUGUAUUUAGAUUUGAUUAAAGUUUCAGGGUUCUUGUUGUAAAAACACAGUCUGUGUCAGCAUGCCGACAUGCUAAAAUGCAGAAACACCUAGAUGUGCCUCUUAUCCAGUACAUUUGCCUAAGACACGGGGACGGUUUUACAGCCGUGAGGCAAGUUUGAACCAUAAACGUUUUGCCAUAUUCAUUUAACCAUAUGUUUACUGAUAUAUUGACUGACCUUUGUUUAAAUGCUCAGCAUUUUUUGAAUGCUUGGCAACUUUUCAUUUAUUUGUUUGUUUGUUUGUUUGUUUGUUUGUUUGUUUGUUUGUUUGUUUGUUUAAUACAGAUCCUCUCAGCUUCACUUUUACUCUUUUUUUUCAUUUUGAUAGGAUGCCAGCUACUAUUCCUGGACUUGGGCCAUUUCCACAAUGUAUAAGUCUUGCCCUAUCUGGAAAUAUACUAGAAUUGCUCUUUUGGAUAACCACCAAAUGAGUAACAAACAUGGCAUGGGUAUGGCUUUUACAUCUUUAGCCUGUAGCUGAGUGUGGGCAUCACGUGGAAUGAGUUUUGGCUGAGUUUCUGGAUGCAAAAUCAUAUGAUCCAACACCUAGAAAGAUAUUUGAGAUUAAAAUUCAACAUUCAAACUGUGUAGUAACUGUACAGGAAAAAACCGAGUGACCCAAAGUAGUCACAGAUCUUUAAAUAUUUUUCAGUAUGAAAGGUCCAUUAUACUUAUGUCAUUAGAUUUAUAUUUAAGCACUCAUACAGCCUCAUACUGGGAAAAAUAUGUAUGAAAAACAUGUAUGAAUUAUCAAGCUAACAAGCUACUGAAAUUAAACUAGCUAAAAACCAGAAUAGUUAGACAGAUCUUUUAAUACUUUCCAGUAUGAAAGCUCUAUUGACGUAAUGAUGCCAUACCAUGUAUAUUUAAGCGCUCAUAAAGCAGGCAGGAAAUGUUCAGGAUCUUGUGUUAAGGGAUGUCUUUCUAGAUAGCUAUAUAACUAUCAGGGCUGUCAAGUGUCACGCAUUGAGAGUGACAGUCACGCAUGUCGGUCUUUUCUCACGCUCUCCCGCCACACAUCGUAUUUCUCACGCAGAAAAACCUUUUGACUAUUUAUCAUAUAUU